rnacentral:lncRNA from 1 species
AAUAGUUUCUCCUAGCUGCUAAAACAGCCUUUCUUCUCCAAAUGCGGUCACGUUUACUCGCGUUUGAAGCUGAUUGCCGCUUUUCUGUUCCGAUUUCUAGAUUUCUCAGCACCCCAGCGCAUUCUGGAAAAGCUCUGAUUUGUACCGCGAAUAAUGUCGCUAAAAACAAAAUA